UAGGGAAUCUUCCACAAUGGACGCAAGUCUGAUGGAGCAACGCCGCGUGAGUGAAGAAGGGUUUCGGCUCGUAAAGCUCUGUUGGUAGUGAAGAAAGAUAGAGGUAGUAACUGGCCUUUAUUUGACGGUAAUUACUUAGAAAGUCACGGCUAACUACGUGCCAGCAGCCGCGGUAAUACGUAGGUGGCAAGCGUUGUCCGGAUUUAUUGGGCGUAAAGCGAGUGCAGGCGGUUCAAUAAGUCUGAUGUGA
rnacentral:rRNA from 1 species